rnacentral:tRNA from 1 species
GAUGACUGAAAGUAAGUAAUGGUCUCUUAAACCAAUAAAUUGAGGUUAUAAAACCAAAUACCUCAAAUAUCA